rnacentral:rRNA from 1 species
GAUGAACGCUGGCGGCGUGCCUAAUACAUGCAAGUCGAGCGAACGGACGAGAAGCUUGCUUCUCUGAUGUUAGCGGCGGACGGGUGAGUAACACGUGGAUAACCUACCUAUAAGACUGGGAUAACUUCGGGAAACCGGAGCUAAUACCGGAUAAUAUUUUGAACCGCAUGGUUCAAAAGUGAAAGACGGUCUUGCUGUCACUUAUAGAUGGAUCCGCGCUGCAUUAGCUAGUUGGUAAGGUAACGGCUUACCAAGGCAACGAUGCAUAGCCGACCUGAGAGGGUGAUCGGCCACACUGGAACUGAGACACGGUCCAGACUCCUACGGGAGGCAGCAGUAGGGAAUCUUCCGCAAUGGGCGAAAGCCUGACGGAGCAACGCCGCGUGAGUGAUGAAGGUCUUCGGAUCGUAAAACUCUGUUAUUAGGGAAGAACAUAUGUGUAGUAACUGUGCACAUCUUGACGGUACCUAAUCAGAAAGCCACGGCUAACUACGUG